rnacentral:rRNA from 1 species
ACGGGAGGUAGCAGUGGGGAAUAUUGGGCAAUGGGCGAAAGCCUGACCCAGCAACGCCGCGUGAGGGAAGAAGGUUUUCGGAUUGUAAACUUCUUUUAUCAGGGACGAAGAACGUGACGGUACCUGAUGAAUAAGCCACGGCUAACUACGUGCCAGCAGCCGCGGUAAUACGUAGGUGGCAAGCGUUAUCCGGAUUUACUGGGUGUAAAGGGCGCGUAGGCGGGGAUGCAAGUCAGAUGUGAAAUCCAUGGGCUUAACCCAUGAACUGCAUUUGAAACUGUAUUUCUUGAGUGUCGGAGAGGUAAGCGGAAUUCCUAGUGUAGCGGUGAAAUGCGUAGAUAUUAGGAGGAACACCAGUGGCGAAGGCGGCUUACUGGACGGUAACUGACGUUGAGGCUCGAAAGCGUGGGGAGCAAACAGGAUUAGAUACCCUGGUA